rnacentral:rRNA from 1 species
GACGAACGCUGGCGGCGUGCUUAACACAUGCAAGUCGAGCGGUAAGGCCCUUUCGGGGGUACACGAGCGGCGAACGGGUGAGUAACACGUGGGUGACCUGCCCUCAGCUCUGGGAUAAGCCUGGGAAACCGGGUCUAUACCGGAUAUGACUCCAUGACGGCAUGUUGUGGGGUGGAAAGCCUUGUGCGGCUGAGGAUGGGCCCGCGGCCUAUCAGCUUGUUGGUGGGGUGAUGGCCUACCAAGGCGACGACGGGUAGCCGGCCUGAGAGGGCGACCGGCCACACUGGGACUGAGACACGGCCCAGACUCCUACGGGAGGCAGCAGUGGGGAAUCUUGCGCAAUGGGCGAAAGCCUGACGCAGCGACGCCGCGUGAGGGAUGACGGCC